rnacentral:misc_RNA from 1 species
GGAAGUAAGAGUCGUAACAAGGUCUCCGUUGGUGAACCAGCGGAGGGAUCAUUACCGAGUUUACGACUCCCAAACCCAAUGUGAACCAUACCAAACUGUUGCCUCGGCGGGGUCACGCCCCGGGUGCGUCGCAGCCCCGGAACCAGGCGCCCGCCGGAGGGACCAACCAAACUCUUUCUGUAGUCCCCUCGCGGACGUUAUUUUUACAGCUCUGAGCAAAAAUUCAAAAUGAAUCAAAACUUUCAGCAACGGAUCUCUUGGUUCUG